AAAAAAGGGUUUUAUCUAUAUCUUUGUAUUUUCUCCAUUAUUUAGCCAUAUUUGUAAUACAUUGGAUGAAUAUUCUCCUUGAUUAUCAUUUAUUUAACAUGGGCUAAGUAUUUUGUUGGAAUUUAUGGUAGUAGCUUGACCUAGGUUUAAUUGAUUUUCAAUAUUUGCUAUUUGAUAUUAAAUUGCCCAUUUCCAUGUAUUUCUAUUAUUGUAUUUAUUGCAUUUUCAUU
rnacentral:lncRNA from 1 species